AUACGGAGGGGGUUAGCGUUGUUCGGAAUUACUGGGCGUAAAGCGUGCGUAGGCGGACUAUUAAGUCAGAGGUGAAAUCCCGGGGCUCAACCCCGGAACUGCCUUUGAUACUGGUAGUCUUGAGGUCGAGAGAGGUGAGUGGAAUUCCUAGUGUAGAGGUGAAAUUCGUAGAUAUUAGGAGGAACACCAGUGGCGAAGGCGGCUCACUGGCUCGAUUCUGACGCUGAGGUACGAAAGUGUGGGGAGCAAACAGGAUUAGAAACCCUAGUAGUCC
rnacentral:rRNA from 1 species